UACAAAGUGUAUCCUUUCUUGUUGUAUCCUUUUUGGGGCAGUGUUUUUUGUUCUUCCUAGAAAUGUUUUGUCACUUUCCCACUCAUGGAUUCAGAAUAAGCAAUAGUUUUUUAUAAUUUUAUUCAAAUGAGUUAUUUUUAAAAUUAUCAACAUUGAUUGGACAAAUCAUUUAUGUGGUGUUUUUUUUUGUUUUUUGGGAAGUUUUUUUGUUUGUUUUUUUGUUGUUUUGGGUUUUUUUUGUUGUUUUUGUUUUUUUGGUUUUUUUGCUUUGUUGCUGAAUUUUCUAUGCCGUUCUUGAGGUUAUGUAAUUUUUCCAGGGAAAGUUAGUGAAUCAGGUCAACAUAUUUACUUGGAGAAUGUAUGCAUUUGCUUUAACGCAGAAAUUAGUCUUGUUUCUUAUAUUUAUGUAUUUCCUAAACCUAAUUCAGUAACAUGCCUUCUGUUUUAUGAUGUAUCUGGUUUAGGUGUUCUAUAUAAUGUGUUGUAAAUUUUGUUUGGGGAAAGGAUUUUUUUCAUUUAAAAAAGUACACAUAAUGAAAAUUAAAAUAACUGGAUUUCCUUGUCAGUUCCAAAUAAGAGGAGCAGGUUUUAAUCUUGAUCUCACAUCUCAGGUUUUAAUAUUGAUAUGUCUUUUGACAUAGAUAGCAAGCAGAAGUAUCUUUUUUCCUCUUUCUUUUUCUAAACAAAACAAAAGGAAUAAGAAAAGAGGAACAGAGAGGAGAAGACAUAAUGUUGACUCAGGGUAGCACAUUAAGUGAAAAGAAACAAUACUGGUAGGUAUACAUAAUAACAAUGGUUUCCAGACUAGUUGAUGACCGGUAUUACCCAAAACAGUGGUUUUUAAUCCUGGCCACAUUUUGGAAUCACCUGAGAAACUUCAAAAAUACUGAUAAAGAAAAAAGAAAAAAAACCCUGAAAAAUAACACUAUUGCUUAGGUUUCUCUCCGUUUUGAUUUAAUUGGUCUGGCGUACAACAUGGAUACUGGAAUUUUUCAACCCUCCUAAUGUGUGACCAAGGUUGAGAACCACUGAGGAAGGAUUUUUACAUAUAAAGAUUCCUGGGCUUUCUCCUAAAACCAAUAAAUCAGAAUUUCUGUGAAUGAGACCAAGAAUCUAAUUCGAAAAGGUUCCUUCAGUAGUUACAAGGGCUGACCAGUUUAGAUACUACUUAGAUUAAAAUAGUUAGAUGCCUAGCCAUCCAACCUUCUGCAAGUAGGAAAAUCAAGAAUUAGAGCCUCUACAUUUCUUGCAAAUUCUAUUACUAGUACUAUGAAAAUAAUUCAAAAUUCUGUUAAUAAAUUAUCACUCUAAGAGUACGAAA
rnacentral:lncRNA from 1 species